UAUCCAUUACAACCAGCCUUACCGGUCAUGAUAAGUUUUGCCACGUCAACACGACGGAGACAAAUGAGUCACAAACGACGACAAACUGCAUGUACAACAAGAACAAUGACCAAUCAUUAUUAAUCAAUUUACUCGUAUGCCUCGGCAAGGAGUUGCAGAGACGAGUAGAAUAGUUACAAGAGAAAACAAUCCCAAAAAAAUCGUCGCCUUCUUCAAUCAGUUACUACCAUCACCAUCACAUACUGUUACUUCCUAGCUCAGUACCCCGGCCGGCGUUUUGCUGGGCACGGGACAGGAGCACGCCGGCCCGAACGCUCUUCACGGCCACGGCAGCCGCCUUUUUCCCGCCUCCGGAAUACCGUGUCUGUCUCUGUCACCACUCACUACUUGCUGCCGUUGCGNNN
rnacentral:lncRNA from 1 species